GAUGAAGAACGCAGCGAAAUGCGACAAGUAAUGUGAAUUGCAGAAUUCAGUGAAUCAUCGAAUCUUUGAACGCACAUUGCGCCCGCCAGUAUUCUGGCGGGCAUGCCUGUUCGAGCGUCAUUUCAACCAUCAAGCCCCGGGCUUGUGUUGGGGACCUGCGGCUGCCGCAGGCCCUGAAAUGCAGUGGCGGGCUCGCUGUCACUCCGAGCGUAGUAGUUACAUCUCGCUCUGGGCGUGCUGCGGGUUCCGGCCGUUAAAAGCCUUAUUUACCCAAGGUUGACCUCGGAUCAGGUAGGAAGACCCGCUGAACUUAAGCAUAUCAAUAAGCGGAGGA
rnacentral:misc_RNA from 1 species